rnacentral:rRNA from 1 species
GUUCCCUCCUCCUCUUUAAUACGUAGGGGGCAAGCGUUACCCGGAAUUACUGGGCGUAAAGGGGGCGUAGGCGGUAAAAUAAGUCAUCUGUGAAAACCUAUUGCUCAACGAUAGGCUAGCGGAUGAAACUGAAUUACUUGAGGGCACCAGAGGUAGACGGAAUUACCCGAGUAGGGGUGAAAUCCGCAGAUACGGGUAGGAACGCCGGUGGAGAAGUCGGUCUACUGGGGUGCACCAGACGCUGAGGCCCGAAAGCUAGGGGAGCAAACCGGAUUAGAUACCCGGGUAGUCCUAGCCGUAAACGAUGCUCACUAGGUGUAGGGAGUGAUAAACUCUCUGUGCUGAAGCGAACGCGCUAAGUGAGCCGCCUGGGGAGUACGGCCGCAAGGAUGAAACUCAAAGAAAUUGGCGG